rnacentral:rRNA from 1 species
GCGGGCGUAGCCAUACGUCAGCGGCAGACGGGUGAGUAACGCGUGGGAACGUACCUUUUGGUUCGGAACAACCCAGGGAAACUUGGGCUAAUACCGGAUAAGCCCUUACGGGGAAAGAUUUAUCGCCGAAAGAUCGGCCCGCGUCUGAUUAGCUAGUUGGUGAGGUAACGGCUCACCAAGGCGACGAUCAGUAGCUGGUCUGAGAGGAUGAUCAGCCACAUUGGGACUGAGACACGGCCCAAACUCCUACGGGAGGCAGCAGUGGGGAAUAUUGGACAAUGGGCGCAAGCCUGAUCCAGCCAUGCCGCGUGAGUGAUGAAGGCCCUAGGG